UACCAGCACACCGAGUGGUCGGGACGUUUAUUGGGCCUAAAGCAUCCGUAGCCGGUUCUACAAGUCUUCCGUUAAAUCCACCUGCUUAACAGAUGGGCUGCGGAAGAUACUAUAGAGCUAGGAGGCGGGAGAGGCAAGCGGUACUCGAUGGGUAGGGGUAAAAUCCGUUGAUCCAUUGAAGACCACCAGUGGCGAAGGCGGCUUGCCAGAACGCGCUCGACGGUGAGGGAUGAAAGCUGGGGGAGCAAACCGG
rnacentral:rRNA from 1 species